UGGCCUAGUGGUUAAGGCUUUGGAUCGCCAAUCCGGAGACGGUGGGUUCGAUUCCUGU
rnacentral:tRNA from 1 species